rnacentral:tRNA from 1 species
GGCAACGUGACGGAGUGGUUAACGUGAUCGCCUCGAAAACUAUUCAGCUAUCGCAAGCGAUUUCCUUCGGGAGCGCAGGUUCGAAUCCUGCCGUUGUCG